rnacentral:rRNA from 1 species
GAUGAACGCUAGCUACAGGCUUAACACAUGCAAGUCGAGGGGAAACGAUAUUGGAAGCUUGCUUCCGAUAGGCGUCGACCGGCGCACGGGUGAGUAACGCGUAUCCAACCUGCCCACCACUUGGGGAUAACCUUGCGAAAGUAAGACUAAUACCCAAUGAUAUCCAUAGAAGACAUCUGAAAUGGGUUAAAGAUUUAUCGGUGAUGGAUGGGGAUGCGUCUGAUUAGCUUGUUGGCGGGGUAACGGCCCACCAAGGCGACGAUCAGUAGGGGUUCUGAGAGGAAGGUACCCCCCAUUGGAACUGAGACACGGUCCAAACUCCUACGGGAGGCAGCAGUGAGGAAUAUUGGUCAAUGGGCGAGAGCCUGAACCAGCCAAGUAGCGUGCAGGAUGACGGCCCUAUGGGUUGUAAACUGCUUUUAUAAGGGAAUAAAGUGGGAGUCGUGACUCCUUUUGCAUGUACUUUAUGAAUAAGGACCGGCUAAUUCCGUGCCAGCAGCCGCGGUAAUAC